UUUUUUCUUUUUUACAGGUGUCUCUAGAGUCAACGACAGGAGAAAGGCAGUUGAUGAUGGAAGACCCCGGGUGGUGUGCAUGCGAAAUGGUGGGGUGCAGCGCAAAGGAGGACUUAGGGUUUUAGGGUUACUAAGAAAAUGUUUAGGUUAUUGGGCCAUUAGGCCAUAGGUUUUAUUAUUUAUUUGGAUUGAGAAAGUUCUUUUUGUUACUUUUUUUUUUCUGUUCUUUCUUGUGUUAAUGAACUAAGGCUUUUCUUGUUUGAGUACAGCUCAAAAGAAACAGUAAGUACAAAAGAUUUAGCAGACGGCUAUGAAGGUUAGAAUCUCCAUCUUUGUUCACUACUCUAAAUAUGUA
rnacentral:lncRNA from 1 species